GGGCGUGUAGCUCAGUGGUAGAGCGGUGCCCUUACAAGGCAUAGGUCGGGGGUUCGAAACCCUCCGCGCCCA
rnacentral:tRNA from 1 species